rnacentral:rRNA from 1 species
GAUGAACGCUAGCUACAGGCUUAACACAUGCAAGUCGCGGGGCAGCAUGGGGGUUGCUUGCAAUCCCCGAUGGCGACCGGCGCACGGGUGAGUAACGCGUAUCCAACCUGCCCUUCACCACGGGAUAACCCGGCGAAAGUCGGACUAAUACCGUAUGUUGUCCAUUGACGGCAUCCGAUUUGGACGAAAGGUUUGGCGGUGAAGGAUGGGGAUGCGUCCGAUUAGCUGGACGGCGGGGUGACGGCCCACCGUGGCGACGAUCGGUAGGGGUUCUGAGAGGAAGGUCCCCCACACUGGAACUGAGACACGGACCAGACUCCUACGGGAGGCAGCAGUGAGGAAUAUUAGUCAAUGGGCGUAAGCCUGAACCAGCCGAGUAGCGUGCAGGAUGACGGCCCUAUGGGUUGUAAACUGCUUUUAUGCGGGGAUAAAGUGGCCCACGUGUGGGUUUUUGCAGGUACCGCAUGAAUAAGGACCGGCUAAUUCCGUG